rnacentral:rRNA from 1 species
GGUAGGGUGGCAAACGGGUGAGUAAUACAUGGGUGAUCUACCUUAGGGAUGGGGAUAUCCUUCCGAAAGGAGGGGCAAUACCGAAUAUUGUCCGGAGCCGUGAAGGGUUCCGGGGAAAGGGAGGCCUCUGAUACAAGCUUUCGCCUUAAGAUGAGCCCAUGGCCCAUCAGCUAGUUGGUAGGGUAAAGGCCUACCAAGGCUACGACGGGUCGCUGUCUGAGAGGACGACCAGCCACACUGGCACUGAGAUACGGGCCAGACUCCUACGGGAGGCAGCAGUGAGGAAUAUUGCGCAAUGGGGGAAACCCUGACGCAGCAACGCCGCGUGUGGGAAGAAGGCCUUCGGGUCGUAAACCACUUUUGCACGGGACGAAAAAGGGAUAUCGAACAAAUAUCCCCGAUGACGGUACCGUGAGAAUAAGCCACGGCUAACUCUGUGCCAGCCGCCGCGGUAAUUCAAGGGCGAAUUCUGC